GCCACGGUGGUCUAGCGGUUAGAACGCUGGCCUUGUAAUCCUGGGGUCUCGGGUUCCAUUCCCGGCGGUGCCC
rfam:Zootermopsis nevadensis contig11571, whole genome shotgun sequence.